AGAACACAUGGAGAGAAGUGAUCAUCUCUUCGCAUCUUGUGGGUAGGCAAAAAUGGUUUGGUUGAUUUUUGGCCAGUGGUGCACAAGUCUUCUUCAGGAGUCUUAAUUCUUGUUGGUUGCUGGUCAGAUUCUUAAACAUGUUCAAGAUGUUGAGAACUUCCAUACGUCGUUGUUUAAAGUUUUGGGCCAAACAUCGUGACGUUUAUUCAAAUGUAUAAAAAACUACAGCCCAACCUUAUUUAGAUCGGAGUUUUGUUCGGAAAUUAAACAUUUGUUCGACGCCAAUGACGACGACAAGGUUUACAUGUGUGGCACUCAGAUCACAAGUUUUCCAUAUUGAUAUUUAUCUAUCUCCAGCAUGGCGAAUAUCUUUAUCGUUGCACCUGAAAGCUUGUCGAGUCUAUUUGAAGGCACACCAAGAAUACUGAAAGACGCCCAAAGGUUUAUUCAGCUUAUAAAAGUG